AAAUUAGUUUGUUUAUAAUUUUGAAAACAUCAGGUGGUUUCUAAUCUCUAAUAGCAAACUUCAAAUGAUAUGAAUCACUAUAGAUUAAUUUUGAUUAGAGCUAUUUUUCUGUAAAAGAAUAGAUUGGAAGAAGUUGAGGGCAGGAAAAUGAAAAGACAAAGUUUCUACUCCUAGGUAUUUGUGUUUUGAUUUUGGUCUGUGGUGUCUCUGUUCUAAGUACAUAAUGUUUUAUCCUAUUUUAUGCGUUCAGUUUUGGUUGUGUUAUCAAUUCAUUACCUUAAAUUCAUUAAAGUCUUUGGUUUGAGUUAUUGUGAAAGUGCUAUUUUAAAUAUUGACUGCAAAUUUGACUUUCAAAUUUUCUCAUUUCAGAUGUCAAAUCAACCGACAACAAUGUUGUAAAAACUUUCAAGAACACUCACCAUUUCUCUCGAAAAUUGCAGCGCAGAUUAGUACGUCAAGCGCAUGUUGAAGUUGAAGCUUUCAAAAGCAAACGGCCAAGAAUGUGCAACUCCUGAUUUCUUUCAUAGAACUGUUGAGAACCAAUCCUAAAGGUAUCGGUGAGAAAGCCAAAAUUUUAUGGAAUCAGUUGAGUGAGAAUGAACAGUCAAGUGAAGUGCCUACCAAUUUGCAAGAUUUAUCAUUGCUGCUGGCCAAUAAAAUUGCUCACCGAUUUGUCCACACAACCAAUUUUACAAUUCGUCAACUUCUGAUUGCCCAACGAUACACCAAGGACUCAGUUUACUCUUACAUUCGUAAAGUGCACAGUUUUGCUGAUAAUAUUGUAAAGAAACUUUUCAGUGUGCUAUCAUUCAUGAAUGCAAAACUGGGAACUGCAAAUUUUAUUGUCUUCGUGGACCAAAUCAAGCUUCUUGCAUUGCGAUUACUGGUAAGCUCCAUUUUAUCAACCGUUAUAGUUUAUAUGUAAACCUAAUGGUUAUCAGCAGCAAUAUCUUACCUUCACUAAAAGGCAGAUAAAUUAUUUUUAGCCAUAAUUAAUCAUUGAAAGCAAUUAGUAUAAAGCCACCCCACAGCUAUAUUGCUAGUUGACAAAAUUUAUCUAAAUAUCGUAUUGAUAAAUAAAGGCAAGAAAUUUCCUGUGAAUGAGUAAAAAUUUCAUUUCCUCUUCUCCCAGAGGAAAUCGUUUAAGUAAGUCAGUAUUUCUUUCGGCAGCCUUUCUUUCUUCAUAAAUUCGAUAGGUCCAUAUUAGAUUAGCCAAUUGCUGUUGAUGUCAAAUACUAUGUCAUUCUGACUUCCAUGAUCUGACGCACUCUAUUAUUACAGAAUCGAUGCCUCCCUCCUUAAAAGUAUACAAAUAAGAAAAAUCUCAUCAAAAUCAAAAGUAAACAGCUUUGUUCACUUCUGUGCAUCUUUCAUUUUAUUCUCUUAGCAAUUUCUCUCCUAUCAAAAGUUUUGUCAAACUUUUCAAGGUAUAAUUAUUAUUUUUUUAAUUGUUUUUAGGAGAAUCUCAUGUCAAGUUCCAAGAGGAAACAAGUUAGACACAAUGAGUACCUCCGAAACCAAAUUAGGAACAUUGAAAAUGGGAAGGUAAACAAUGUUUCAAAACACAAAAAUCACAACCAUAAUAAUGCCAGCGCAACAAAAGAAGAAAGGAGAAACUCGGAUGCAACCAACACUGCGCACAAUUCUCAUGCCAGCACAGAAUAGAAUAAUUCUUGU
rnacentral:lncRNA from 1 species